rnacentral:rRNA from 1 species
UGGGGAAUAUUGCACAAUGGGCGAAAGCCUGAUGCAGCAACGCCGCGUGAGUGAUGAAGGCCUUCGGGUUGUAAAGCUCUGUCUUUUGGGACGAUAAUGACGGUACCAAAGGAGGAAGCCACGGCUAACUACGUGCCAGCAGCCGCGGUAAUACGUAGGUGGCAAGCGUUGUCCGGAUUUACUGGGCGUAAAGGAUGCGUAGGCGGAUUUUUAAGUGAGAUGUGAAAACCCUAAGCUUAACUUGGGGACUGCAUUUCAUACUGGAAAUCUAGAGUGCGGGAGAGGAGAAUGGAAUUCCUAGUGUAGCGGUGAAAUGCGUAGAGAUUAGGAAGAACACCAGUGGCGAAGGCGAUUCUCUGGACCGUAACUGACGCUGAGGCAUGAAAGCGUGGGUAGCAAACAGGAUUAGAUACCCUGGUAGUCCACGCCGUAAACGAUGAGUACUAGGUGUAGGAGGUAUCGACCUCUUCUGUGCCGCAGUUAACACAAUAAGUACUCCGCCUGGGAAGUACGAUCGCAAGAUUAAAACUCAAAGGAAUUGACGGGGGUCAUAGCUGUUUUCCU